rnacentral:rRNA from 1 species
CUUGGUCAUUUAGAGGAAGUAAAAGUCGUAACAAGGUUUCCGUAGGUGAACCUGCGGAAGGAUCAUUAACCUUUCAAAUCAGGGUGCAGCGCGGCCCCCGAGGAGCGGAAACAAUCCUUGGGAGGUAUGCGGGGGCUUCGAGCCCCCCAUUUACGCACGCACGACUGCCAUCCUUACUUUACGAGCACCUUCUGUUCUCCCUCGGCGGGGCAACCUGCCGUUGGAACCGAAUAAACUCUUUUUGCAUCUAGCAUUACCUGUUCCGAAACAAACAAUCGUUACAACUUUCAACAAUGGAUCUCUUGGCUCUGGCAUCGAUGAAGAACGCAGCGAAAUACGAUAAGUAGUGUGAAUUGCAGAAUUCAGUGAAUCAUCGAAUCUUUGAACGCACAUUGCGCCCCUCGGUAUUCCGUGGGGCAUGCCUGUUCGAGCGUCAUUUCACCACUCAAGCCUCGCUUGGUAUUGGGCAACGCGGUCCGCCGCGUGCCUCAAAUCGACCGGCUGGGUCUUCUGUCCCCUAAGCGUUGUGGAAACUAUUCGCUAAAGGGUGCCGCGGGAGGCUACGCCGUAAAACAAACCCAUUUCUAAGGUUGACCUCGGAUCAGGUAGGGAUACCCGCUGAACUUAAGCAUAUCAAUAAGCGG